AUGCAUAUUCCUGAACUCCAAUCCAAACCUAGUAACAGAGCCAAGUUCUUCAUUAGCCACGAAUAUCCUCAAAAACCUACGGGUAAUAACCUUUAUAUCUUCUACUGUGAGCAUGAUGGAGGUUGA
rnacentral:lncRNA from 1 species